CACUCCUGCGGGAGGCAGCAGUGGGGAAUAUUGGACAAUGGGCGCAAGCCUGAUCCAGCCAUGCCGCGUGAGUGAUGAAGGCCCUAGGGUUGUAAAGCUCUUUCACCGGUGAAGAUAAUGACGGUAACCGGAGAAGAAGCCCCGGCUAACUUCGUGCCAGCAGCCGCGGUAAUACGAAGGGGGCUAGCGUUGUUCGGAUUUACUGGGCGUAAAGCGCACGUAGGCGGACUAUUAAGUCAGGGGUGAAAUCCCGGGGCUCAACCCCGGAACUGCCUUUGAUACUGGUAGUCUUGAGUUCGAGAGAGGUGAGUGGAAUUCCGAGUGUAGAGGUGAAAUUCGUAGAUAUUCGGAGGAACACCAGUGGCGAAGGCGGCUCACUGGCUCGAUACUGACGCUGAGGUGCGAAAGCGUGGGGAGCAAACAGGAUUAGAUACCCGAGUAGUCCCAUGAU
rnacentral:rRNA from 1 species